rnacentral:miRNA from 1 species
UAAUGAUGAUGAUAAUGAUAAUGAUAAUGAUAAUGAUAAUGAUAAUGAUAAUGAUAAUUAUUAUUAUUAUUAUUAUUAUUAUUAUUAUUAUUUCCA